AGAGUUUGAUCCUGGCUCAGGACGAACGCUGGCGGCGUGCUUAACACAUGCAAGUCGAGCGGAAAGGCCACUUCGGUGGUACUCGAGCGGCGAACGGGUGAGUAACACGUGAGUAAUCUGCCCCUGGCUUUGGGAUAGCCACCGGAAACGGUGAUUAAUACCGGAUAUGACCACGUACUGCAUGGUGUGUGGUGGAAAGUUUUUCGGCCAGGGAUGUGCUCGCGGCCUAUCAGCUUGAUGGUGAGGUAAUGGCUCACCAUGGCUUCGACGGGUAGCCGGCCUGAGAGGGUGACCGGUCACACUGGGACUGAGACACGGCCCAGACUCCUACGGGAGGCAGCAGUGGGGAAUUUUGGACAAUGGGCGCAAGCCUGAUCCAGCCAUGCCGCGUGCGGGAAGAAGGCCUUCGGGUUGUAAACCGCUUUUGUCAGGGAAGAAACGCUCCGGGUUAAUACCCUGGAGUAAUGACGGUACCUGAAGAAUAAGCACCGGCUAACUACGUGCCAGCAGCCGCGGUAAUAC
rnacentral:rRNA from 1 species